CUUCAAAUGGCUGACCAGGACUCUAGCAUACAUCUUAUAAAGGGUGGUGCAGAGAUUGAUCAGUCUGAAGUGGCUCGAGAGUGAUGCAUUAGGCUGCUUCAAGAUGAGAGUGAUCAGAGUCAUCUUCCACUCUCUAGGAAUACCCCUGCCCUCGAACACAAGUUGCACCGCCUCAUCAUCUCCUCACAAACAAUCAACCAAUAUCGA
rnacentral:lncRNA from 1 species